UACGUAGGGUGCAAGCGUUGUCCGGAAUUAUUGGGCGUAAAGAGCUCGUAGGCGGUCUGUCGCGUCGGCUGUGAAAACCCGGAGCUCAACUCCGGGCCUGCAGUCGAUACGGGCAGACUGGAGUUCGGCAGGGGAGACUGGAAUUCCUGGUGUAGCGGUGAAAUGCGCAGAUAUCAGGAGGAACACCGGUGGCGAAGGCGGGUCUCUGGGCCGAUACUGACGCUGAUGUGCGAAAGCCAGGGGAGCGAACGGG
rnacentral:rRNA from 1 species